rnacentral:rRNA from 1 species
CGGGAAACUGGGGAUAAUACUCGAUGAUCUCGUGAGAGCAAAGGUGUGACUCCGCCGGAGGAGCGGCUGACGUGGUAUUAGGUAGUUGGUAGGGUAUUGGCCUACCAAGCCUGGGAUGCCUAGGGGGUGUGAGAGCAUGGCCCCCACCAUUGGGACUGAGAAACUGCCCAGACACCUACGGGUGGCUGCAGUCGAGGAUCUUCGGCAAUGGGCGCAAGCCUGACCGAGCGACGCCGCGUGCGGGAUGAAGGCCUUCGGGUUGUAAACCGCUGUCAGGGGGGAUGAAAUCAUGGUGGGUACUCCCAUCAUGUUGACAGAGCCCCAGAGGAAGCGCGGGCUAAGUUCGUGCCAGCCGCCGCGGUAACA